CCGUUCUGUGGAUUGUUUGUCUCUUUGUUGUGCUUCUGUGAGAGGCUUUGUUCCCGGGACUUUGGCCCUUUGUCUGCUAGCAGCUGUCUUCCCGCAUCUGUGGUCCAUCUCUGACCUCUCUGUGCUGGCGUCCGCAUUUCCCAUCUCAGGAAGAGUUGGGGUCUUGCGCCUUCCUCCACGCGGCUUGGUGUCCCUGGCUCUCGUCUUCCUGGGCGAGGGCCUGCCUGUGUGCGCGGGGUGCUGUUCUGCUUGCUGGGGCCAGUCCAGACGGUGGGAAGCGAACGUUUCCCAGCCCCGAGGGCCCUCGGUGAGGGGAGAAGAGGCAGUGACACGGCGGCGGCAGGGCCCUGGUCGCCGCCCGGGGCGGGGGGUGGGGUGGCGGGGGUCACAAGGCGGCUGAGCGCGGGCCGGCUCGGAUCCUGGGCCGGCAGUGUGGGAAGUCUCGGUCGACGCUGCCCGUCGGGCCUGCCCAGAGGCCGGACGGGGCCAGGCACCAGGCUCUGGCAGCGAGGCAUCUCCAUACCAGCGGGCACCAGCAGGACCGCACGGGGCCACGGCGCAGAUGCAGAGGAGGACAGAACGGAGGGCAUCCAGGAGAUGGAGAGAGGCAGGGGCAGGAGGCCUGGGCUUCACCCCUGGGUGGUCUGGAGGACACAGGCCACGCAUUGGAGAGAGGCUGCAUGUCGGGAACUUUCCAUCUUAGCGGGAAGGGUACAGAAGACCAGAGCGGGCACAGGUUGGUGUGCCCCCUCCUGAGGCCCGGCAGAGCCAAGGAGGGCUGGAGCCUCAGGAGGAGCCCUGGGAGGAGGACCAGGGCCACCGGGUCAACCAGUAGUGGGAGGGUGGAGCCGAGGCACAGACGCCCAGGGCAGAGGCUGGAGCCUGGUGGCCUCCUGGUCCCUGCUCUAGAUUCUAGCAGCCACCAGCCUCCAGGCCCAGCAGAGCAAGGGAGAGUGGGUGGGCAGGGGGCAGAACUCAACAGUGGCACACGCCUGCAUCUGUGAAAUGGGGAUGGGGGGGUCUGGUGAAAGAACAUUCCAGAACAUUCCGCCGUGGCUGCUGGAACUCCAUGGCAGACGCAGAAGGCUCAGCACGAGGGGCCAGACGAAGCUGAGAAGAACUGGAGACUGGAGCUGAAACAGGUGGAAACAGACAAAAAAGAAACUGGAGGCCCCUUGCAGGAGCCCUGGUACCCCAGGAGCAGGCACAGCCUGUGGAGAAGACGGGGGUCUUGGCGCUCCUCCCGGCAGGAUGCGUCAUCUGGGCCCCUCCCCCGGCCAUGCAGGCGCCGAGCUGCGGGCAGGGCCCAGGUGGGGACGCGGCCCCUGACAUGUUGGCCCCUCCGCUCUGAGGGGUCAGUGUGUUCUCCACGCACUGUCUGCCCAGAGUCUGCAGCGAGUGAGUGAGCGUGUGAGCGAGCA